GGGAGGGCGCACAGGAGCCCGGCAGUGCCGGCGCGGGGGCGGGGAGCGGGGCGGAGCCGAGCGGCGCCGGGGUCCGGCUGGCGGCGGCGCGGGGGCUCGGAGUGGACUGGGGCCGGCGGGCUCGGGGCAGCUGGUGACCUGCCAGGAUGGCGGUGCUGGGGGGCUACUGUGAGGGCAACAGCUCCAUCGCCCAGGCCUGGGUACAGCAGGGCUUCCAGCCCUGCUUCUUCUUCACACUGGUACCAGCCGUGCUGCUGAGCGUCUGCCUGCUGCUGGGUGCCCUGCAGUACGCCUGCUACGUCCGCUUCGGCCGCGCCAUGGAGCCCAAGUACAUCCCCCGCUCCCACCUCUACCGUGGCCAGGUCCUGCUGUCCCUGCUUCUGGCCCUGCAGCCCUUUGGUGGGCUGCUGUGGCAAGCAGCAGGAACGGGACGGCUCUACGGGUACAUGUUGCUGCACGCCUGCCUCUGGGCCCUCAGCUGGGGCUGUGCCAUCACCCUUCUGCAGCUGGAGCAUACACGGGUACUGGCACACGACCGGACACGGGGCCAUGGCACUGUCCUCCUUCUCUUCUGGGCACUGGCCUUUGCUGCCGAGAACCUGACCCUGGCGUGCUGGAGGAGCCCACUCUGGUGGUGGGGGCUGGAGGAUACCAACCAGAAGGUACAGUUUGGUUUCUGGCUGCUGCGCUACAUCUGCACAUUCAUGCUCUUCAUUCUGGGCAUGAAGGCCCCAGGGCUGCCCCGCAAGCCCUACAUGCUGCUGGUCAAUGAGGAGGAACGGGAUGUGGAGAACAGCCAGCCGCUCCUGCCCGAUGCCGGCAGGACCAGCUCCACCUGGAAGGAUUUCCGGAGGAAGCUGCGGCUGCUGGUGCCGUACAUGUGGCCGAGGGGCAACCACCUGCUGCAGGGGCUGGUGCUGUUCUGCAUGGCGCUUAUGGGGCUGGAGCGGGCCAUCAAUGUCUUCGUCCCUAUCUACUACAAGAACAUCGUGAACGAGUUGACAGAGGGUGUUCCAUGGCGCACCCUGGUCUGGACUGUCUGCAUCUAUGUGGGGCUGAAGUUCCUACAGGGUGGAGGUGCUGGCUCCACUGGCUUCGUGAGCAACCUACGCACCUUCCUGUGGGUGUGGGUGCAGCAGUUCACCAACCGGCAGGUGCAGGUGCAGCUCUUUGCCCACCUGCAUGGGCUGUCCCUGCGCUGGCACCUGGGCCGUCGCACCGGAGAGGUCCUGCGCAGCGUGGACCGGGGCACCAGCAGCAUCAACAGCCUGCUCAGCUACAUCGUCUUCAGCAUCAUCCCCACCAUUGCGGACAUCAUCAUUGGCAUCGUUUACUUCACCUCAGUUUUCAGCGCCUGGUUUGGCCUCAUCAUCUUUGUGUGUAUGAGCCUCUACCUGACUCUGACCAUCUUCAUCACUGAGUGGAGGACCAAAUACCGGCGGGACAUGAACACACGGGACAAUGAGGCCAAGUCCCGGGCUGUGGACUCGCUCCUCAAUUUCGAGACGGUGAAGUACUACAAUGCAGAGAGUUACGAGGUGAACCGCUUUAAUGAUGCCAUCAUCAAAUACCAGGUCUCGGAGUGGAAGGUCAGUGCCUCGCUGGGCCUCCUCAACCAGACUCAGAACCUGGUCAUCGGCCUGGGGCUGCUGGCGGGAUCCCUGCUCUGCGCCUACUUCGUCACUGAAAACAAGCUGCAGGUGGGGGACUUUGUCCUGUUUGGCACCUACAUCAUCCAGCUCUACACACCGCUCAACUGGUUCGGGACUUACUACAGGAUGAUCCAGAACUCCUUCGUGGACAUGGAGAACAUGUUCGAGCUCUUCAAUGAGGAGCAAGAGGUGAAGGAUGCUGUGAAUGCUGGUGACCUGCGCUUGGUGGCUGGGCAGAUCGAGUUUGAGAACGUGCACUUCAGCUACGUGGAUGGGAAGGAAAUCCUGCAGGACGUCUCCUUCUCCGUGAUGCCUGGGCAGACCCUGGCCCUGCCCCUGGCAGCGAGGGGUCUGGUGUCUUUACCUUUGUGUGCAGGUGGGACCUUCGGGCUCGGGGAAGAGCACCAUCAUCCGCCUGCUCUUCCGCUUCUACGACGUGCGGGGUGGCUGCAUCCGCAUCGAUGGGCAGGACAUCUCCCAGGUGAAGCAGGCAUCGCUGCGCGCUCACAUUGGGGUGGUGCCACAGGACACAGUGCUCUUCAACGACACCAUCGCCAACAACAUCCGCUACGGACGGAUCCUGGCCACCGACCAGGAGGUGCAGGAGGCCGCGCAGGCUGCUGACAUCCACGACCGCAUCCUUUCCUUCCCUGACGGGCUAAAUCAGCCCCUGGGCAGGGAUGAGCUGAGGCUGUGCCAGGGGGCUGUGUGGUCCCAGCAGCAGAGCCCUGGUCCCCAUCCCUGUCUCGGAGGGCACCAGUGCAGCACAUUCCUGCCCUUGUUGCUGCAGGAUACAACAGCCAGGUUGGGGAGAGGGGGCUGAAGCUGAGCGGAGGGGAGAAGCAGCGCGUCGCCAUUGCUCGCACUAUUCUGAAGGGUCCCCACAUCAUCCUGCUAGAUGAGGCCACAUCUGCACUUGACACGGAGACCGAGAGGAACAUCCAGGCCUCCCUGGCCAAGGUCUGCACCCACCGCACCACCGUUGUUGUUGCACAUAGGCUCUCCACUGUGGUGGGUGCAGACCAGAUCCUGGUGCUCAAGGAUGGGCGCAUUGUGGAGCGAGGCAGGCAUGAAGAGCUGCUGCAGAAGGGUGGUGUGUAUGCCAGCAUGUGGCUGCAGCAGCAGGCGGGGGAUGAGGGUCAGAGCAAGGAACACUGCACUGAGAAGCCCCCAAGCAGCAAGAAGGGGCCAUGAGCAUGGCCAGGGACUCUGCUCUGACACUGACUGGGGGCCCAUGCCCCCCUCUACCAGGGAGCCCUAUGGGGCUGUGCACCAGGACCCCAUGCACCCCAGGAGCUGCAGGGGCUGUGUUGGACACUCCACUACGUUUGUAUCUGUUUGUUUUGCUGUUGUGUAGUUUCUUAAACCAGGUCCUUCCCA